rnacentral:rRNA from 1 species
GACGAACGCUGGCGGUAUGCUUAACACAUGCAAGUGGUGCGACGAACCAGAGCUUGCUCUGGGGCAAAGCCGCGAACGGGUGAGUAACACGUGGGUAAUCUACCCCGAUGACCGGGACAACCCGAGGAAACUCGGGCUAAUACCGGAUGUGGUGCGGAGACAUAAGUCUCUUCACUAAAGGUAGCUUCGGCUUCCGCAUUGGGAGGGGCCCGCGGCCCACUAGCUUGUUGGUGGGGUCAAGGCCUACCAAGGCAACGAUGGGUAGCUGGUCUGAGAGGACGAUCAGCCACACUGGGACUGAGACACGGCCCAGACUCCUACGGGAGGCAGCAGUGGGGAAUCUUGCGCAAUGCGCGAAAGCGUGACGCAGCAACACCGCGUGAGGGAAGAAGGCCUUAGGGUUGUAAACCUCUUUCAGAUGGGACGAAGGUUCUCCGGUGAAUAGCCGAGAGGAUUGACGGUACCGUCAGAAGAAGCUCCGGCUAACUACGUG